rnacentral:rRNA from 1 species
UACGUAGGGGGCUAGCGUUGUCCGGAAUCAUUGGGCGUAAAGCGCGUGUAGGCGGUCCGGUAAGUCCGCUGUGAAAGUCGGGGGCUCAACCCUCGGAUGCCGGUGGAUACUGUCGGGCUUGAGUACGGAAGAGGCGAGUGGAAUUCCUGGUGUAGCGGUGAAAUGCGCAGAUAUCAGGAGGAACACCUAUUGCGAAGGCAGCUCGCUGGGACGUGACUGACGCUGAGACGCGAAAGCGUGGGGAGCAAACAGG